GAGGACAACUGCAUCAUAGAGUAAACACUGGGCUUAAAUAUCACUCCAGUCUGAGACUUUUCCAAAGAAAGCUUUCAACACGCUUCAUCAUGAGCAUCAGACACUGCUCUAUUUGUGCUGCUCGAGGUUUUCUCUUCCCCAAAGAGGCAGGGAAGUCUCUGGGGGAAAUGUAGCUGAUUCCUAGUUCUGGAUGCCUGAGAUUCAUUUUCCCUUCCUCUAAUGAGAGUUUAGGACAAACUGAAGCGAUGAACAACUAGGGCAUUUCCAACCUAUGCCCCCACCUGCAAGACAGCCCUUUCUCACUCCCUAAGGUCGUUAAUAAAGGCAGGUCUGAGUGAAAUGGGAGGAAAGACCAGCUUCCCAAGGGACCCUGGAGACCACUCUUCGGAGCCAGCACAGCAUCCUUCCACCAAGCACAUUUUCCAUGCACAUGAUAGGAUGGGCAGCCAAGAUCAUCUGACUUCAUUUGUGCCACGUCUACGGACCCUCUAUGAACUGCCAAACUUCAAAACUCAUGGACGGAACAUCUGUUUGGGACAAGCAUCUCCUCUUUGAGAGGGUCAACAGGGAACCAGAGUCACUUCAGUCCUUCCAAAUUUAUUUCGACAGUGUUCUGCAAGGUAUUCCUCUGCCACCACACCCCUGAAUUAUCAUCUAUAAACUGAGUUCUGCAGACCAACUGGCAAAGCCUAUUCCCAUGGAAGUCAUAGAAAUUGAGAGAGGGGUGAAAUCAAGAUGCUCAAGAAAGAGAAACAAAGUAGAUUUUAAAAUAUUAUUUGAGGAUAGGAGAAGCCCUAGAGAGAGUUCGAUGGCUGAGCUGGCUUCUGACACUAACUAGCUCUGUGGGCUUGGCUGAUUGCUUAACCUGCCUGGAUGAAUUUUUUCAGUCUUUAUAUGAGAUUGGAAUUGGGCACCUAUGGCCACUCACAGCUGUACGUCUAUGAUUCUAUCUGAAGAGCUGGACAGAGCACACAACGAAGUGUGUCCUUCCCAAUGUACGUUUUUCCUACAGAGGAAAUGACUGAAAACUGAACUUCCUUAAUAACUGUAGAGCUCUCUUUAAGAUCUCAAAGAACUUUUCAAAUCAA